rnacentral:lncRNA from 1 species
UUUCCAUUUGAACCUGGCUGUCUGAAGCUACACUCCCCAAGGAAUUGUGGAAGAAAGAAAAUCCAAAACUGAUGUCUAGGCAGCUAUAUGAAUGGAAACAACACUUCUCCACCAGAAAAAAAAUGCCAGUGCCAUCCUAGAUGAACUCCUUGUCAAACCAGAAGAUCAUAACUACCAUCAACAUCAUCUUGUAAAUGAUGACCACAGUGAAGAAACCCAACAACAGAACAAUAUCCUUCAAUAUUCCUACUCUGGUUGCUGCUAGUGUACACAGCGCUGUACCAUAGUCUAGGCUGCUCUCCAGGUUCAGGCUGAAAGAUUACCUGAGCCUGGAAAGUCACAGCCAAUCAAGGCAUGGUGCUGGUACAAACACAUCUAAAAUAAGACAAAAACUUUGUGAGUAUAGCACAAUAGUUCAAUGUAGGAGUGUAUAAUUAGCAAUUUCAAGGGAUUAAGUUCUAUGCCAAGCAACACCCCUUUCCACUUUUGUACUUCUAUACUUCUAGCAUGGCUGCACCCCUAAAGUUUCCAAACA